UACGUAGGAGGCGAGCGUUGUCCGGAGUUACUGGGCGUAAAGGGUGCGCAGGCGGCCCGACAGGUGUGUGGUGAAAUCUCCCGGCUUACCUGGGAGGGGGCCACGCAAACCGUUGGGCUUGAGGCUCGGGGAGGGGCGUGGAAUUCCGGGUGGAGCGGUGAAAUGCGUAGAUAUCAGGAGGAACACCGGUGGUGUAGACGGCUUUCUGGACCGUAACUGACGCUGAGACACGAAAGCGUGGGUAGCAAACAGG
rnacentral:rRNA from 1 species